UCAGGAGUUUUCUUUCCACCAUGUGGGUCCCAAGGAUCAAACUCAGCGAGCACCUAGUGAUUGAUGUGGCAUGGCCCGCCCAGCCCAUUGUGGGCAGCUGGUCCUGGGUUGUAUGGAAAGCAAGCUGGGCAAGCCAUGAGGAGCAAGCCAGUAGCAGGGCUCCUUGCUCCUCUGUGGCCUCUGAUUCAGUUCCUGCCUCCAGGUCCCCGCCUUGAGCCCCUGCAAGCAUAAGACUGGAACUUUGUUAUGUCUUUCCUCCAGCCUGUGACAACAAAAGGAGGAAGAAUAAAUUUUGGAACCUUGGCUCUCUCCUGGAAGCUGAAGCUGCCGUGUCCGUCCCUUCCGAGCACAUUCCUAGUAAGUUCUGAGUACAUCUGCGUUCAUCGAUGGCUGUCAUCCUGCUGCUGAGGAGCCAGGCUGGAAGUGACAGUGUCUCCUGAAUGGAUGCUGGCGGGUACAUCCGUGUUUCCAACUGGGAGACGUCAGCACAUCUUCCUGUGAGGGAUGGCAACAAGAGAAUAUGUGCAAGCGUUUUAUGUGAGAUGGCAUUUCUCUAUGUAUACAGCCCUGGCCAUCCGGGAACUCACUCUAUAGACCAGCCUGGCCUCAAAAACCUGACUGCUUCUGCUUCCUGAGAGCUGUAA